CGGAAAACGCGGCCUGGAUCGCGCCGGGGCGGCCGCCGCCGCUCGCACGCGCCCCGCGGUAGCCAAAAAUGGAAGGAAGCACAUCUGCAACGCAUUUGUGUGAUGUUCACUUUUGAGACCGCGCGGCUGGAUGGAGGCGUGUUGCUUUUUCCUGUACACCUCACCUCUAACGUGACCAUGACCAGAGGCAGUGUCUGAGAGAUUGCUCGACCCUCUUCAGCGCCAACUUCCUUCCUAGAUCUCAGUCUGGCGGAAACGCCGCCACCGUCCACCCCGCUGCUCAGGCCGGAGACACCUCCCUCCCUCCCUCCCUCUCGCCUUCGGCUCCCCAUUGGACAUCACAUGGUGUGAGUUCCAGCUCCAAGGUGCACCCCCCAUCAGCACGGCCACCACCCCGGUCUCCGCUGCCACGGCCCACGUCUCUCCCUGCUGAGAACUUCCUAACGGCUUUCAAUGAGAUUUAAGAUAAAAUCUGAAUUCUGUGCCACAGCCCGCAAGGCCUCCUCCAUGAUCAGUCUUAUGUCUCCCUAGACCGGAGGCUCCGUGAUGGCAGGACGGGGCCACUUCUACUACUUGGCAGUUCAUACUGCCUGGCACAUA